rnacentral:lncRNA from 1 species
CAAGUAGCUGGGAUUACAGACGCCCGCCACCACGCCCGGCUAAUUUUUUGUAUUUUUAGUAGAGACGGAGUAUCACCGUGUUAGCCAGGAUGGUCUCGAUCUCCUGACCUCGUGAUCCGCCCGCUUCGGCCUCCCAAAGUGCUGGGAUUACAGGCAUGAGCCAUCGCGCCCGGCCCAGGUGCAUCCUCUUAAACAGCUCCUACCUAGGAGACGAGGUUUUGCCAUGUUGCCAGGCUGGUCUCCAACUUCUGGGAUCAAGCAAUCCUUCCGCUUGAGCCUCCCAAAGGGCUGUGAUUGCAGGCGUGAGCCACCGCGCCUAGUUUAGGUUGAGCAGCGAAAGGGAUAGGGCCCAGUGCUUUCUCUGCGAGGUUCAGUUGGCCUGUCCCUGUCCUAUCACCGUUUGUCACCGUUUGGGGAGCGCCACGGAAUGCACUGUCUCCAAUCGAGAGGUGCACUCGUCGCCCUGGCAACGGAGUCCG